UACGUAGGGUGCAAGCGUUGUCCGGAUUUAUUGGGCGUAAAGGGCUCGUAGGCGGCGUGUCGCGUCUGCCGUGAAAGUCCGGGGCUCAACUCCGGAUCUGCGGUGGGUACGGGCAGACUAGAGUGAUGUAGGGGAGACUGGAAUUCCUGGUGUAGCGGUGAAAUGCGCAGAUAUCAGGAGGAACACCGAUGGCGAAGGCAGGUCUCUGGGCAUUAACUGACGCUGAGGAGCGAAAGCAUGGGGAGCGAACAGG
rnacentral:rRNA from 1 species